GGCCAGCCAAUGAAUUUUGAUUUACACAAGAACCUUACUUCAAACGAAAUUAACGAAACAGAAUUUAAAUCUAAGGUUAAAUACAAUCCACCAAACGU